ensembl:lncRNA
GUUGAGGACUAAACUCAGGCGAGGGGGGGGCGGGGGGGGGGUAGUUCUGAUGGAGGUCUCAUGGAUGUGACCUGGCCUGACUUGUGUGUGUGUGUGUGUGUGUGUGUGUGUGUGUGUGUGUGUUGUUGAAGUAUUGUGUUGUUUCGACAGGUGCUUUACAAAAAAAACAUGAAUUAACAAAUGGGGGGGGGGGGCUGAGGCAGUUUCUUUAAUUAUUACUAUUAUUAUAAAGAUAAGUGUAACUAUGUGGAGUAAACAUGUUUACCUUCUUUUUUUAGGAUUCACGCACCUCCACCCUGUGUGUGUGUGUGUGUGUGUGUCUAUAAGAGGAGGCGACACAGGUGUGUACCGUAAAAACAUCCCUGAAUCUUCCAGAUGAGGUCAUGUUUCUGCCCCCCCCCCCCCAAAGGAAAGCAUGGCCGCCUGAGCUGAACCGCUGUGAAUAGGAGAUUUAAUAGAUUCAGAGUGUGUGUGUGUGUGUGUGUGUGUGUGUGUGUGUGUGCACGCGCGCAUUAACUUUACAGAAUGUAGAGCUCGCGGUGGUCCGACGCAUGAGACCAUCUUUUUCCUCGUCACGACUUAACAGCCCCCAGUAGUUAAGGACAACUUUGUUUGGGGAAGAGCAAGAAGAAGAAGUCGCUUGAAGCUUUGCGUGUUUUCUGUUCUCGAUAGUUUCUGUGCGUCGGCGUGUGGCUCCGCCCACCUCAGGUGGAGGAAAUGUUUACACAGGUUCUAAUGCAUCAAUCACGUUAUGUUAAAUGCAUAUUUCUUGUUUCUUUGCCCAGCUGUAAUUGGAUAUUCUUUAGUUUUUUCUUUGCUCCCCCCCUUCACUACAUGACCUCCUUUACAGGACAAUGAAGAACACGCGUGUGCUUCUUUCAGGUAUUCACAUAGCUCCGCUCCUCCAACGGAUGACCUCCGUGCGACAGGAAGUCCUGCAAGCUUUAUUUUUUGUUGUUUGUUUUUUCUUUGAAUAAACUUUUAAAAAGUACUUUCAAAAGAACCUCGUGUCCUUUGUCUCUGAAAGUUCCCUAAAAAACCCUCUCGUGUCGGCGUGUUGAAAGCAGCGUUGUUGUGACACGCGUUGGCCAAUCAGCGCGUGAGAAGGAGACACUGUGUCCUCAGUUACA